AACGAACGCUGGCGGCAGGCUUAACACAUGCAAGUCGAACGGGCACCUUCGGGUGUCAGUGGCAGACGGGUGAGUAACGCGUGGGAACGUACCCUUCGGUUCGGAAUAACCCAGGGAAACUUGGGCUAACACCGGAUACGUCCGCAAGGAGAAAGAUUUAUCGCCGAAGGAUCGGCCCGCGUCGGAUUAGCUAGUUGGUGGGGUAAUGGCCCACCAAGGCGACGAUCCGUAGCUGGUCUGAGAGGAUGAUCAGCCACACUGGGACUGAGACACGGCCCAGACUCCUACGGGAGGCAGCAGUGGGGAAUAUUGGACAAUGGGCGAAAGCCUGAUCCAGCCAUGCCGCGUGAGUGAAGAAGGCCUUAGGGUUGUAAAGCUCUUUCAGCGGGAAGAUAAUG
rnacentral:rRNA from 1 species